rfam:Schizophyllum commune H4-8 unplaced genomic scaffold SCHCOscaffold_1, whole genome shotgun sequence.
GUCUGCAUGGCUCAGUUGGUUAGAGCGCCGGUCUCAUACUUACGUAUGAACUUGACGUCGUCGAGUGUAAUCCGGAGAUCGCCAGUUCGAUCCUGGCUGCGGACA